AGUGAACGCUGGCGGUAGGCCUAACACAUGCAAGUCGAACGGCAGCACAGUAAGAGCUUGCUCUUACGGGUGGCGAGUGGCGGACGGGUGAGGAAUACAUCGGAAUCUACUUUUUCGUGGGGGAUAACGUAGGGAAACUUACGCUAAUACCGCAUACGACCUACGGGUGAAAGCAGGGGAUCUUCGGACCUUGCGCGAUUGAAUGAGCCGAUGUCGGAUUAGCUAGUUGGCGGGGUAAAGGCCCACCAAGGCGACGAUCCGUAGCUGGUCUGAGAGGAUGAUCAGCCACACUGGAACUGAGACACGGUCCAGACUCCUACGGGAGGCAGCAGUGGGGAAUAUUGGACAAUGGGCGCAAGCCUGAUCCAGCCAUACCGCGUGGGUGAAGAAGGCCUUCGGGUUGUAAAGCCCUUUUGUUGGAAAAGAAAGGCAGCAGGUUAAUACCCCGCUGUUCUGACGGUACCCAAAGAAUAAGCACCGGCUAACUUCGUG
rnacentral:rRNA from 1 species